rnacentral:rRNA from 1 species
CCUACGGGAGGCAGCAGUGGGGAAUCUUGCGCAAUGGACGAAAGUCUGACGCAGCCACGCCGCGUGAGUGAAGAAGGCCUUCGGGUUGUAAAGCUCUGUCGUGUGGGACGAAAAACAUUAGGGUUAAUAGCCUUAGUGUCUGACGGUACCAUGAAAGGAAGCACCGGCUAACUCUGUGCCAGCAGCCGCGGUAAUACAGAGGGUGCAAGCGUUGCUCGGAAUUAUUGGGCGUAAAGGGCAGGUAGGUUGUCCUAUUUGUCUGGGGUGAAAUCCCUGAGCUUAACUCAGGAAGUGCCUCAGAAACGGUAGGACUAGAGUCUUAGAGAGGUUCGUGGAAUUCCCGGUGUAGCGGUGAAAUGCGUAGAGAUCGGGAGGAACACCAGAGGCGAAGGCGACGAACUGGAUAAGUACUGACACUCAACUGCGAAAGCGUGGGGAGCAAACAGGAUUAGAUACCCUGGUAGUCCACGCUGUAAACGAUGGGUACUAGACCUUGUGGGAAUUGACCCCUGCAAGAGUCGGAGCACGCGAGUAAGUACCCGACCGUCGGAGUACGGUCGCGAGACGAAACGUAACAACUAGAAGUAGACGCGUGAGACGNGACGACGGACGACGACGAGGGAGGAGG